ACGAACUCUGGUAUUGAUUGGUGCUUGCAUCAUGAUUUACAUUUGAGUGAGUGGCGAACUGGUGAGUAACACGUGGGAAACCUGCCCAGAAGCGGGGGAUAACACCUGGAAACAGAUGCUAAUACCGCAUAACAACUUGGACCGCAUGGUCCGAGNUUGAAAGAUGGCUUCGGCUAUCACUUUUGGAUGGUCCCGCGGCGUAUUAGCUAGAUGGUGGGGUAACGGCUCACCAUGGCAAUGAUACGUAGCCGACCUGAGAGGGUAAUCGGCCACAUUGGGACUGAGACACGGCCCAAACUCCUACGGGAGGCAGCAGUAGGGAAUCUUCCACAAUGGACGAAAGUCUGAUGGAGCAACGCCGCGUGAGUGAAGAAGGGUUUCGGCUCGUAAAACUCUGUUGUUAAAGAAGAACAUAUCUGAGAGUAACUGUUCAGGUAUUGACGGUAUUUAACCAGAAAGCCACGGCUAACUACGUGCCAGCAGCCGCGGUAAUACGUAGGUGGCAAGCGUUGUCCGGAUUUAUUGGGCGUAAAGCGAGCGCAGGCGGUUUUUUAAGUCUGAUGUGAAAGCCUUCGGCUCAACCGAAGAAGUGCAUCGGAAACUGGGAAACUUGAGUGCAGAAGAGGACAGUGGAACUCCAUGUGUAGCGGUGAAAUGCGUAGAUAUAUGGAAGAACACCAGUGGCGAAGGCGGCUGUCUGGUCUGUAACUGACGCUGAGGCUCGAAAGUAUGGGUAGCAAACAGGAUUAGAUACCCUGGUAGUCCAUACCGUAAACGAUGAAUGCUAAGUGUUGGAGGGUUUCCGCCCUUCAGUGCUGCAGCUAACGCAUUAAGCAUUCCGCCUGGGGAGUACGGCCGCAAGGCUGAAACUCAAAGGAAUUGACGGGGGCCCGCACAAGCGGUGGAGCAUGUGGUUUAAUUCGAAGCUACGCGAAGAACCUUACCAGGUCUUGACAUACUAUGCAAAUCUAAGAGAUUAGACGUUCCCUUCGGGGACAUGGAUACAGGUGGUGCAUGGUUGUCGUCAGCUCGUGUCGUGAGAUGUUGGGUUAAGUCCCGCAACGAGCGCAACCCUUAUUAUCAGUUGCCAGCAUUAAGUUGGGCACUCUGGUGAGACUGCCGGUGACAAACCGGAGGAAGGUGGGGAUGACGUCAAAUCAUCAUGCCCCUUAUGACCUGGGCUACACACGUGCUACAAUGGAUGGUACAACGAGUUGCGAACUCGCGAGAGUAAGCUAAUCUCUUAAAGCCAUUCUCAGUUCGGAUUGUAGGCUGCAACUCGCCUACAUGAAGUCGGAAUCGCUAGUAAUCGCGGAUCAGCAUGCCGCGGUGAAUACGUUCCCGGGCCUUGUACACACCGCCCGUCACACCAUGAGAGUUUGUAACACCCAAAGUCGGUGGGGUAACCUUUUAGGAACCAGCCGCCUAAGGUGGGACAGAUGAUUA
rnacentral:rRNA from 1 species